rnacentral:rRNA from 1 species
AGCGAACGCUGGCGGCAGGCCUAACACAUGCAAGUCGAACGGACCCUUCGGGGUUAGUGGCGGACGGGUGAGUAACACGUGGGAACGUGCCUUUAGGUUCGGAAUAGCUCCUGGAAACGGGUGGUAAUGCCGAAUGUGCCCUUCGGGGGAAAGAUUUAUCGCCUUUAGAGCGGCCCGCGUCUGAUUAGCUAGUUGGUGGGGGUAAAUGGCCCCACCAAGGCUACGAUCAGUAGCUGGUCUGAGAGGAUGACCAGCCACAUUGGGACUGAGACACGGCCCAAACUCCUACGGAGGCAGCAGUGGGGAAUCUUGCGCAAUGGGCGAAAGCCUGACGCAGCCAUGCCGCGUGUAUGAUGAAGGUCUUAGGAUUGUAAAAUACUUUCACCGGUGAAGAUAAUGACUAUAGCCGA